GAUGAACGCUGGCGGCGUGCCUAAUACAUGCAAGUCGAGCGAACAGAUAAGGAGCUUGCUCCUUUGACGUUAGCGGCGGACGGGUGAGUAACACGUGGGUAACCUACCUAUAAGACUGGAAUAACUCCGGGAAACCGGGGCUAAUGCCGGAUAACAUUUAGAACCGCAUGGUUCUAAAGUGAAAGAUGGUUUUGCUAUCACUUAUAGAUGGACCCGCGCCGUAUUAGCUAGUUGGUAAGGUAACGGCUUACCAAGGCAACGAUACGUAGCCGACUGAGAGGGUGAUCGGCCACACUGGAACUGAGACACGGUCCAGACUCCUACGGGAGGCAGCAGUAGGGAAUCUUCCGCAAUGGGCGAAAGCCUGACGGAGCAACGCCGCGUGAGUGAUGAAGGUCUUCGGAUCGUAAAACUCUGUUAUUAGGGAAGAACAAAUGUGUAAGUAACUGUGCACGUCUUGACGGUACCUAAUCAGAAAGCCACGGCUAACUACGUG
rnacentral:rRNA from 1 species